rnacentral:rRNA from 1 species
UAGGGAAUCUUCCGCAAUGGGCGAAAGCUUGACGGAGCAACGCCGCGUGAGUGAUGAAGGUCUUCAGAUCGUAAAACUCUAUUAUUAGGGAAGAACAAAUGUGUAAGUAACUAUGCACGUCUUGACGGUACCUAAUCAGAAAGCCACGGCUAACUACGUGCCAGCAGCCGCGGUAAUACGUAGGUGGCAAGCGUUAUCCGGAAUUAUUGGGCGUAAAGCGCGCGUAGGCGGUUUUUUAAGUCUGAUGUGAAAGCCCACGGCUCAACCGUGGAGGGUCAUUGGAAACUGGAAAACUUGAGUGCAGAAGAGGAAAGUGGAAUUCCAUGUGUAGCGGUGAAAUGCGCAGAGAUAUGGAGGAACACCAGUGGCGAAGGCGACUUUCUGGUCUGUAACUGACGCUGAUGUGCGAAAGCGUGGGGAUCAAACAGG